AGAGCGACGCGAACAAUACUUCCUAUAUCAACACACAACGAAGGCAACAACUGUAGUACGUACGUAAGUGUAGCUUAGCCUCCUCCUGUACUGCAUGCCAUGGCGAUGCUGAAGAAGAACACGAGCUCCCUGAGCUUCGUCAUGGUCGCCCUCAUGGUGGUCAUGGCUGCCACCCUUCUCUACUCAUGCGACGCCCGCAAAGUGAAGGAUAAGCCCACCGCUUUCCCCGUGGCGGGGAAGUGCUUCUCGAGGUUUUUCGCGAACUGCACCGAGCCGCGGUGCAAGAAGUUCUGCGUCCAGCCACUCCCCGGAGCCGUCUGUAUCGACAAAAACCAUUGUUGCUGCCCUAUUGCUUAGUUAUAAGCGCCGCUGAAGCAGUCAGGCUAAGAAAUACUAGUUAAAGGUGGCAAUAAGUAAUAUUCGUACACUUCCAAAUAUAUACUACCCCUGUUUCUAAAUAUAAGGCUUUUUUGCAGUUCAAUUCAGUUGAACUGCAAAAACGUCUUAUUUUUGAACAAAGGUAGUAUAUGCUAAUGUUGUUUCUAUUUAUGAACUGUCGACCCCAAAGAUUUAUGUAUUGAAUUAAUUGUAUAAUUAUGUCACCACAACAAUGUGCUUGUGAUCAAGAUUAAUUACUUCCAUUUGGUUUGAGAUA